AGUCCCGGGGGCGUGGUGCGCCACCCGCAGGGGUGGGGCACGUGCCCUGGGGGCGGGGCAUUCCUCCUGCAGGGGUGUGGCGUCCAGCACGGGCGGGACGGGGCUGCCGUGAUGGCACCCCACUGGGAUCACGCUGCCGGGGGCGGUGCACUCCCCCCGCACUCCUCUUCCUCCCCCAGUGGGAAUCUGCUAGCUUUUAAUGCAGGUGUGGGGAAUCUUUGUCCUUCCAAUGUUGCUAAACCCUUAGUCCCAUUAGCCCUAGCAAGCAUGGCCAGUGGGCAGGAAUGGUAGGCUGCAGUUCAGCAACCUUGGGAGGGCACCAAGAUAAAAGAAAGAUACUGACGGGUGCAUCUGCAAGCAGACUGCCUUGCAGAGCUCUUGGAAAGAAGAAUGUAGCCCAAGAGCUCAGACUCCAUUGCGGUGGACAAUUUUCCUGGCCGACUAGUUUGAAAGUUAAAGUUUUUAACAGAGGUUCAGGACAUAUUCAAAGCUGUGAUCUGUAGCAUUCUCAUAAGUGAAAGUAGACUUUUAAAAGAGAAACAUAACGCAAACCUCCAAUUAGAUCAAGUGCUCAACUGCCUACUCUAGAUGAGAUUGCACUUUCCCUGAAGGAGCAGGUUUGCAGUUUGGGGGUGUUUCUGAAUGCAACUGUCACUGGAGCUACAAGUGCCUUCUUCCAACUAUGAUUGGUUUGACAGUAACGGCCAUUCAUAGAUUUAUAGAAUCCAGAUCAGGAAAACCUUGGCACCGGAGUUCCUUAUCUUUAAACCAGAUUUGUGUGGGAUGUAAGCAUCGAAAAGGCCUAUGUAAAGGGUUAAUUACAAGAACUGCAGAACUCUGUGAUGUCGUACACUCUGUGUCCGUUAUAGAGUUGGUACAGUUAUGGCAGUUAGCGGAACAGUCUCAGCUGACCAGCAGAUAUGUUCCGUUGUGCUGUUGUCUGCCUCAAAGUUAGAUUCAGGUGGAAAGCCGUGUUGAUCUGUCAAAGUCAUAAUAAAUAACAAGAUGGAAGAUGGAAAAAUCUUUUUUAAUAAUUCCAGUGGCACCUUUAAGAUCAACUAAAUAUAAGCUUUCAAGGUAUGAGCUUUCAUGUUUAAUCAAAUUAGAUGUUAAAUGUUAGGAUGUUAGAUGUUCUAGCAAAUUAAGUAUCAUCUACCUACAUUGUGAGGGACGCGGGUGGCGCUGUGGGUUAAACCACAGAGCUUAGGGCUUGCCGAUCAGAAGGUCAGCAGUUCGAAUCCCCGCGACGGGGUGAGCUCCCAUUGCUCGGUCCCUGUUCCUGCCAACCUAGCAGUUCAAAAGCACAAAGUGCAAGUAGAUAAAUAGGUACCACUUUGGUGGGAAGGUAAACAGCAUUUCCAUGCGCCGCUCUGGUUCGCCAGAAGCGGCUUAGUCAUGCUGGCCACAUGACCCGGAAGCUGUACGCCGGCUCCCUCGGCCAAUAAAGCGAGAUGAGCGCUGCAACCCCAGAGUCGGUCACGACUGGACCUAAUGGUCAGGGGUCCCUUUACCUCUACCUACAUUGUGUAUUUUAAUCUACAAGUGCAAGUAAACUAAGUAAUAGUCGUAUGUUAUUUGAACUUUAAAAGAGAGUGACUUGCAUAGUUUUUAUAGGAGAGAAAAGAGAACUAAUGAAAGAGUCAAAGGACCCAGGGCUGUCUUCCACAUACUCUGGCAAAUGGGAACUACAGUGUAAUUCCCACAAUUUGGACUGGACGCAGCUUUCAAAUAGAGGGCUGUCCUCUGUAAAACGGGGAACAUGACCACUCUGCACAGGUUCCCCACCUGAGUUUUAAAGGACAACAUAUCUGAUAAUCAUCAAGCUCUGUCCACACACAAUAACAUGGUACAAGAAUAAACACUGAAGACAGCACUACACAUUACACACACAUGACUUAUUCAAUUUGUUUUUGAAUAACUGCUUUUAUGCAGCCUCUCAUAACAGAAGUUCUCUGGAUGUUGCACAAAGCAACCCUUCCAGUCAAAGUAUAUAAAACAAUAGAAAUGACAACUAAAUUAAUUUUUUAAAACUGAAACAAUUAAAAAGCUAUGGAUUAGAUCAAACUAGGUUAUAUAGCAGACCUGCUGAAAAUAGUGGGCUUACUCUGAGCACAGCUAAUGUUGGAUAGCAACCUACAUUUCUUUUCUGCAUUUCUUAAGGGUUAUUUAAAAACUUAUCUUUAUUUUGAAAUUGCCUCUUAGGAGAAAAGCUGUAACCCAGUGAGCUUCAGGGUCAGACUGGCAGAACCAUGAAAUGUGUACAGCAAGACUUUAUGUUCCCAGAACUGCGCUCAUAAUAACAAGAUAACAUUCAACGCACAGUUGUGUCAAAUGGAAGCUUUCAGUGAAGAAUUAGACAUAACAUCCUCAUUGGUGCAAUAAUAAUAUAGGAAAAUUCCUGCAUGCUGAUAUCCAAGUUUGGGGCAAGUAUACUUUGGUGAGAGAACCCCAGCAGAGAUUUAAUGUCACAAAAUAGUGUUAUAGACAGUAUAAACCUAGAAAUUAAUAAAUGCUAGGAUUUUGGUUAUUUGUGGUAUGAAGGGACAACGCAAGCUGCAAAGAAAUUCCUGGGCUGGCUUAUGCAAACCAACCUGGCUGGCUGGAGGAAGAGCAGACCUGUUAGCAUUACAAAAAUGUGUUGAUAGGCCAUAGAAGGAUCCUUUGGCCUAGGGAGUCAGAUGUCACAAAAGUUGCCAGGGUAACUGUGUGUUUGAUGGCACAGGAAAAGGGAGUUUGAAGCAAAUGCUUCUAGGCCCAAGGAGGAGGAGGCAAUAAGGCUGGGAACCAUCUUUGAGGGAAACAGCCUAAAGGUUACUUGUGCUGCUGCUGCUUCUGGAAAUGUGCAUGCUUUACAAUCUAGACUUCCUCCAUGCAAACCUCUUCACCUGCUGAGCUUCUCAGGUAGACUAGGGGACAGCAGAAGCUUGAUUACCUAGUUCCUCCCAAAGUAAGGGGAAGUGGACACACCUAAGCCUGGCAGAACAGCUUAGUCUAUGCUAUUUCCUUCUUCCUGCAUUAAUUAGAAAGCAGGUUGGUUAUAUGAAGCUGGUUUUCCCAUAAUCCGCACAAACUUUCCUCCUUAAAAGCGAUUCCACAGCCCCUUGCCUCUGGAGCAGAGCCUCAGAAAAUGGCCUGGGCAGGUUCUUUUGGGAGCAGAGUGCUUGUUCAGAUAAAGGAAAGAAACAGUAAAAGGUAAAGGACCCUCAGACGGUUAAGUCCAGUUAAAGGUGACUAUGGGGUGCGGCGCUUAUCUCGCUUUUCAAGCCAAGGGAGCCGGCGUCUGCCCACAGACAGCUUUCCGGGUCAUGUGGCCAGCAUGACUAAACCGCUUUUGAUGCAAGGGGACACCAUGACAGAAGCCAGAGCACAUGGAAAUGCCAUUUGCCUUCCCGCUGCACAGUGGCGUAGCGUGGGUUGUCAGCACCCGGGGCAAGGCAAGUAAUUUGCGCCCCCUAACCCGUGGAUUUGUGCCCCCUAACCUGUGGAUUUGUGCCCCCUAACCCUAACCCCCAGAUGUUGUGCCCGGUGCGGCCGGCCCCCCCUGCACCCCCCACGCUACGCCACUGCCGCUGCAGAUUUAUCUGGUGUGUUUUGGAACUGCUAAGUUGGCAGAAGCUGGGACAGAGCAAUGGGAGCUCACCCGUUGCACAAAUUCGAACCGCCAACCUUCCAAUCAGCAAGAUACCCGAUAUAUGGAUACCUGGGGCUAAGGAAUCUAUAGUUUGUGCAGCACAAGGAAAGGCAGAAUCCCAAAAGGAAGCUUCCUUAUAAGAAGUUCCUCUUCGCCAUCGCUAUCGCCACUCAAUAGGCUUGUCGAAUUGAGCUCUAACCCAUGUCUGGUCCGAUUCAGAAUCAGUUUUCUGCCACCGGCACGCUAGCUGUCUCAGCGAUUGUUUCAUUGCCCUCAGCUCUGGGCAAAACCAUGGGGCUAUCCGGACUCCAUGCAAUGGGAGAGGGCGCUUCAGAGCCAGUCCUGGUUAACUCCGCAUUCCAGCAGGCCACCAGGGAAUCAUCUGAAAGGCCAUCAACAUGGGAUAAAACACCCCCUACCACUUUUUGGAAACCAUUUAUAUCCAUGAAGUGGUGGGGGCAGACCAUCCAAAUCGGUCCCACCUCCCUGCAGAAUGGAAGGGUUGUGGAGAAGUCCAGUUGCAUCAGGAAGUGAUCCGACCAUGGCACUUCUUUUGUUUCAUUUUACUUAGUGUUGAAUCACCCACGUCCACAGAGGUGAACACCAGGCCUAAGGCAUGUCCGCGACUAUGAGUUGGGCCAAACUUAUUCAGGGACAACCCCAUGAAGGCCAUGCUUUCCACGAAGUCCUGAGUUCCCCUUGUAAAGUCAUGUCAGCAUAGAUGUUAAAAUCCCCUAGGACAGGGAUGUCCAACCGGUCAACCACAAUCAACAGGUCGAUCCCCUCUUGAUAGAAGUUGACCGCAGGCUCUAUUUCCUCCGCAGGGGGGAAUGAGGCCUGGCCCUGCCCCCUCACUCUGUCCAUUAUUUGCACACAAUUUCAAGAACGGAAGACGGCGGGAUUAAGCGUGUUCUCCUUCAUAGAGAGCACGUGUUGCGGUGGGAUCUGAACAGGCCACCCCUCUGUUGCUGGGCGGGUUAGUAUGGAUGACCAUCCGCGGUGAUUGGGUGGUUGGGUUACUGGGCAAAUAUUGGUGUUGCCAUUUAGGGGGGUGGACCAAAGGUUAUAAAAUCAAGUCACACAGCAUUGACUGGGCCCUUUUGCUGCGUGCAUCGGAUCACCUGGAGCACUUGGACCGUCUGGAGGACAGUGGAGCGGUCUGGUUACAUUUCUUUAUUUCCUCCUCCUUUUUAAUCUUCUCUAGUUCCUUAAUUACCGUAUUUUUUGCUCUAUAAGACUCACUUUUUCCCUUCUAAAAAGUAAGGGGGAGUGUGUGUGCAUCUUAUGGAGUGAAUGCAGGCUGCACAGCUAUCCCAGAAGCCAGAACAGCAAGAGGGAUUGCUGCUUUCACUGCGUAGCGAUCCCUCUUGCUGUUCUGGCUUCUGAUAUUCAGAAUAUUUUUUUUCUUGUUUUCCUCCUCCAAAAACUAGGUGCGUCUUGUGGUCUGGUGCGUCUUAUAGAGCGAAAAAUACGGUAAUUUAAUUCCCCUUUUCUCCCGUUUGAUUUCCCACCCCACCCCUUACCCUGCCCUUUGAGAAGAUUCUCCCUGUAUCUGUGAGCGCUGCCUGUGUGUAAUCCUCCUUGUCUUGCCUUUCCCAAUAGGAAGAGAGCCCCCAUUAGGGGCUUUCUUUUGCAAAAAUGUUUUCCCCAUUUUGCCAGUUUGUUAAUUGUGGGGCUAGUCAGGGCUGUUCCCAGCUUAGCUGGAAUCACUUUCGUUUAUAGUAUCCCCAAAGGUUGGCUUUCUUUUGGGUGCGUGCAGUGCUGUUUGCUGAAUUUUAAUCUAGCCUUGGGCGGGAGCGCUAUUUUGAGCUUCCUUUAAUAUUGCAAUAAGACAAAUAUUCUUAGGAGCAGAAGCAGGGAGGCCUUCACGGCCUGCACAUAUCAUUCAAGCCUAAGCCUGCUACAGUUAGCAGUACAGUAAGUUGUUAAGUCUCUGUGACACGUGACUCAUUGUCUCCAUAAAAAUGUAUCUGCUUGCAGGCUCAGUUGUUGCUAAUGUAUAUCUGAGGCAGACAGGGGGAGCCAGAGGCUCUCUGUGCCUCCAAUGAUUAUGAGCACUCUGUGUAUGCUCUUGAACUAUGCUGCUUCUGAAUAAGUUUAUUUUCUUCUAGUUUGUUUUGCUCUGAUAGUGGCAACCGCCAUUUUAGAGACAAGCCAUUGUGGAUUGUGGCUAGAGUGCAGGACUAAGGACCUGGGAGACAGGGUUCAUAUCCCCCACUUAGCCAUUGUUAUAACAAAACAAAACAAGCUUCUCCUUUUGGACUACGGUGGUACCUCUGGCUACGUACUUAAUUCGUUCCAGAGGUCCGUUCUUAACCUGAAACUGUUCUUAACCUGAAGCACCACUUUAGCUAAUGGGGCCUCCCGCUGCUGAUGUGCUGCUGCCGCACGAUUUCUGUUCUCAUCCUGAAGCAAAUUUCUGGGUUAGCAGAGUCUGCAACCUGAAGCGUAUGUAACCUGAAGCGUAUGUAACCUGAGGUACCACUGUAUUCUGUUGCUGGGUAAAGGUAAAGGGACCCCUGACCUUUAGGUCCAGUUGUGACUGAGACUGGGGUUGCAGCGCUCAUCUCGCUUUAUCGGUCGAGGGAGCCGGCGUACAGCUUCCGGGUCAUGUGGCCAGCAUGACUAAGCCGCUUCUGGUGAACCAGAGCAGCGCAUGGAAACGCCGUUUACCUUCCCGCCAGAGCGGUACCUAUUGAUCUACUUGCAGUUUGACGUGCUUUCGAACUGCUAGGUUGGCAGGAGCAGGGACCGAGCAACGGGAGCUCACUCCGUUGCAGGAAUUCGAACCGCCGACCUUCUGAUCGGCAAGUCCUAGGCUUUGUGGUUUAACCCACAGCGCCACCUGCGUUAUUGGGUAGUUCGGCCCAUUAGUGAUAUUGCUCCCAAAAAAGAACUUUGAGUUUUCCCCAUUGUAGUGGCAGCACACAUCUGGACUUAGGAGUUAAGGGACCAUUGGGUCUGUCUUGGUCUGAUAACCAGGCAGUGGUGAGCGUCCUGGCAAAACGGUUCUCAUGCUCCGGCUGAGUCUCCACCCCUUUUAUGUGCUUUCCAGCUGCACUGCUUAAGGUUUAAUAUUGUGUUUCUGCUCUCUUUAUUCAGGGAUCAUCUAAUGUUUUCGCUGACACUCUAUCCCAUUUUUUCAGUUGGAGAGCUUCAGAUCCCGGGCGCUGGACGCCCAGCUAUAGCUGGAUUUUUCUGGAGCUCCUGUGGCACAUUGGCAACAAUUAAUAAUUACGGGGAGUAGUAGCUUAUGUUUCCCCUUCUGCUUUUAGGUCUUAUGAGAAGGCCUGGACUGAUUUCUUAGCGUUUAGCUGGCAGUUCUCGGCCAUUCAGAGGAACUUGCCCCCAUCCUCUGAGCAGGUCCUGCAGUACUUGGCCCAGCUGCUGCAGAUCGGAUGCACUGAUAAGGCUAUCAGAAUUCAGUCCGCUGCAAUGUCUGUGUUAUGUACUGAGUUGAAUAGGAUCCAAAAUGCAUCAGUCUGAUUGGUCCUAGAACAAUAGGAUCCAAAAUGCAGCAGUCUGAUUGGUCCUAGAACAAUAGGAUUCAGAAUGCAGUAGUCUGAUUGGUCCUAGAACAAUGCAGCAAUAUGAUUGGUCUGCAAGAGCCACCCAAUCCGGCUCCGGGUGGAAGUGAAUCCACAACCUGAUUGGCCUACAGGAGAAUUCCGGAAUUAGCCAAUCACAUGCAGCCCACUGUGUAAAUAAUGUAUAUAAAGCAGAUACUUUGAGGGGGCAUUCAUUCCUCCUCACCACUAUGAGCUGAAUAAAGAGCAUGAAAUCCACCUUCGACUCUGAGUAUAUUUCAGUCUGCUAUAGUAAAGCUUUAAUUUUUCAGAGACCCUUGUAAAAAAGGGUCGUGCGCAGGGCCUUGGAAGGUUGGAAUAGGCUCCAACCUUCACAGGACAGCAGGCAGGAAGCCAGUCAAUUUUUGACCUAUGCAGUAUCCACAAGACUUGUCUGCUGGUUCAAGAUCAAGGCGAGACUUCUUUCAGUAUUCCAUUGCAAUUUUGGUGUACUGAGGGUUGGGGAAAUUGUGUUGGAGCCAGCACAAGGCUGAGAGUAAGUGCCUGCC